AUGAACAAAGGAGACAUGCAUUUGGCCCAGAGGACCUGGAAUGGUUUCCUGGUGAAGGAAACCAUGGACCAGCACUUUGAAAGGAGAAAAGACGGACAGGCAGGGAGUAGCAAGAACUCUGCAGGCCUGGAGAGAGCUGCGAGCACCAGCAGAGGAUGCAGCAAACGCAGGCACGCUGGCGGGUACACCGAGUGCUUUCCAGCUGAUCUUGUCUUGUCAUUGGAGCGGAAAGGACCUGAGCUUCAGACACACCCCAGCACACUGGAUGCUGCCUCUUGCUGUGGUGACAGACAUGAGGCUGGGCUGGGAGCAGUCAGAGACAGAUGGGAACGACCUCCUGGAAGACGCCUGGCACGGAGGAGCUGCAAGGGCUGUGUGUGCUCUGGCUCCACCGCUCCCCGUGGCACAUCUCCAAGGCCCGCAUCCCUACGGCCCUGCAGAGGAGAGCGCCACGCCCUCCCUGCAUCCGGGUAACCACAUGCCAGGGACGUGAGGACAGCCAUGGACGCACUUCAGCAGCUGCUCCGUGGGUGACGAGGUGACGAUGCAGGAGAAGGUUGAAGUUGGAGUCAAGAGCUGAGAUUCUGGGUGGGCAGAGAUCUGCUGGGAGAACGUCAGACACCAAAGGUGCCAUUUUCUGGGUGGGGGCCUCUGUGGACCGUGUUAGGAAGCUCGGACACCUGUAACCUGUGAGGUCCUGGGGGCAGCGCUGCCGUCUCCUGUGUAUUGCAUCGCUCCCUAGCUCCAUGACCUUGGCCAUGUCUCUGGUCCACUAAGAACCUCUGUACACUUAUCUGCCCACGGCAGGGCUGCCCAGGAAGGCUAAAUGAGAAAUAUCACAUGUAAAGGGCGUGGCACAGCGUGGCAUGUAAAGGGCAUGGCACAGCGUGGCACUGCUGUGCUUAUGAUGUGAUCCUGGGUGAGUGUCCGGACCCGAUGGCCAGGGCCCUCAUAUUCUGAUGCUAAACUAGGUUGGGGACUACUGAACUGAGCAAGCCAGGAACGUGUUUAAAAUAGAGAGCCCUGGAGCCAAACCCAGGUCUACUGGCCUGGAAUGUGCAGGGGCAGAACCUGAGAACCUGAACGUUCAAACGAGCACACCAGGGAUGCUGAUCCUCAGAUGGCUCCAUGCACAGAGCAGGAAGCGCCUGCACAGAUGUCCUCUGGGGCCAGGCCACUUGCCUCAGGCUCUGGGCUGUGUGGUCCUCUGGAGGUCACCUCUGCCCUCCAUCUAUUUUCAGACCCACCUCCGGGCUCCGGCAGAGUCUGUGCAGAUUACACUGGACGCCUUCUCUCCAUCUCUCUGCCUCCUAAUCUAAUUAUCACAACAACCAGAUGUGACAGGCUCCCUCUCAAACCCAUUUAAACAUCUCCAAAGGCACCUCUCAGUAUUCAAGCCUUCUCUAAUUCCCCCCUCCUUCCUCUAGCAGGACACCUUGGCUUCUGGCGCUCUCCCUGUGCCAAUUAGCAGUGAAGAAUCCUUCUGCUGAAAUAAUCCGAUUAUGAGGCACUGAAUAGCAGCCACAGACUGUCACAGUCAAAUCCUCAUCCGCAUAGAAAAGAAAAUCAACCCUCUUAGCAUCCUAGGGGUUGGCCUCCUGGAACAUAAGGCAUCUUCCUCUGACAGACAUGCUUCUGAGCCUUUGGUGAGUCUGUGCCUCUCUCGGUACCUUCGAAAAUGAGAUGAAUGCAAAGAUCCCUUUCUUCCCCAAAUGCUCAUGUGUGCACUGAUUCCCAUCCAAUUUCCAGAGCUCAUGGCUCCUUGGAGACCGACCAUCCCUGGACUCCUGGCCCCACUGUUUGCGAACUGGAGAUGGGCACUUGCUGUCCGCCUCUGCACUGAUUGAAUCAGGAGCCGCUACAGCUGCCGACUCUUAGCACCCCCGAAAGGAGCUCAGGUGGAGCCCAGGAGUGAGGCCGUCUGUGCUCCGGGAGAACUGGCAGGACAGAUCUCCAGAGAGUUAGUUAGAUAUUUUCAGGAGAAGAUUUUAUGAGCCUAAUUCUUGCAUCUCCUUGUAUCUGGAAAAGCACUAACAUCCUUCACAGUGACGCUGGCUCCUGGUGCCUAGCAGUGACCUUCACGAGACUAGCAGUGACCUUCAUGAGACUAGCAGCGACCUUCUGCAAAAUGUGUGCCUGGCUGCAUGGAGCUCCCCCUUCACCAAAAUCACGUAUAUACGGACAUUUCCUCCUGCCUCUUUGGAGAAGGUUCUGAGAGCUCUCUGAAAUGCUGCCUCUGGGGCUGUGGUCCUCAUUUUGCCUCAAAUAAAACUUAACAACUGCCACA
ensembl:lncRNA